rnacentral:lncRNA from 1 species
CUGCAGUAAGGAUAAAAUCAAAUCACAUGGUCACAGAAUCUGAUGAUUGGAAGUAAACUUCCAACUGGAGUUCAGCAGCUAACUAGGGUGGGUGAGCAGAUGGCUGGAGCAUUGGAAGAGAGUGAGUUCAGGAAUCUCACUAAGAAGGGCAAAGUAAGAUGAAAGUUUUGGGGUCAGGAUUGAGACCAGGAGCCAGAAUGACCCCAACCCAAAAUCUCCAGAAAGGAUACUCCAGAAGGGCACAGUCUUGUAGUACAGGAGGAGAAGCCCUCAGC